rnacentral:tRNA from 1 species
GGGCCAUUAGCUCAGUUGGUUAGAGCUACCGGCUCAUAACCGGUCGGUCCUGGGUUCGAGUCCCCGAUGGCCCACCA